rnacentral:lncRNA from 1 species
GAUAUAUAGUAUGAAUGUACCUUAAAUAAAGGAAUAAUUAUCUAUAUACCCUUUGUACGUUUAAAAAUAUCUUUUUUUCUAAAAUAUCUCUCAUAUAUUCUACCGUUAUUGUAAAAUACUCCCGCAGUUAUCUCCUGUUAAGUUAACUUGGGUUCAACGUGAGUUAAACAUCUACCACAGUUAAAAAAAACUAAAAUGCUAAUUUUGCCCUUAACUUAAGGACAAAUAAGAAAUAUUGGUGACGAUAGAGAGGUAUAUUGAAAAAGACCAAAUGUCAAAAUAUUUUUUGUGCCCCUGACUUUAAGGAUAAAUAAAAAAAUCAGUGAUGAUGGAAGGGUAUAUUUGAAAGGGCAAAAUAGUAAUUUUACAGAGAUAACAGAGUUUAUUAACAGAUUUUAACUCUAGGGCACCGUUUGGUUUGGGAAUAGGGAUAGGGAUAGGCCCUUAUCCCCCCCUUUAUACCCAAACGCUAAUUUUUUACUCGAGAAUAGUAGUUCUCGGUUAUCCCCACCAACACCUCCAUUUUCUAUAUAAAACUUUCUAAUAUUUUUCUUAUCCUCGGGAACAACCCAAUUUUCAUCCAAACGCUAUUUUUCUUAUCCUCAUACUUGUACCUAUCCCUGUAAUAGCUAGUUCUUGCUUAUACCCGAACCAAACGGUACCUAGGGGUAUAUUAGAAAUAGGUUGGAACGUAGAAAGGGUAUUUUCAAUGUUAGCCUUCUAAGAAGGGUAAAUUGAAAAGUCGAAAACUUUUCAGGAAUAUAUAAGUAAUUGCCCUUUAAAUAAAAUAUUAGGUGUAAAGUUAUUAUAUUUUUCCGAAGUAUAUAUAAAUAUGUUGGUACGUUUGUCUUUCUAAUAUUGGAUAAAAAAUUAUAGGAUUGAAAUAAUAAUAGUUCUUUUUAGAGUUUAGUGAUCAUUUUAAAAUUUAAUGGUUUUUCUAAAAAAUAAUAUUAAUUUUAAAACUAAAAAUGGUCAAAGAAUUAAUAGAAAGAUUAAAAUAUUGAAAGCAUCGCAUCAGU